UAGCUCAGUUGGUAGAGCGCUCCACCUGUAAUGGAGAGGUCCCGGGUUCGAUACCCGG
rnacentral:tRNA from 1 species